rnacentral:lncRNA from 1 species
CGAAGUUCUGAGGUUUGAAGUUUCUUUUAAUCCGAAAGAAAGUAAUUAUUAUGGCGCGCAACUACGUUUUUGGUAUGGAUAGUAAAAUUGUUAUAUUUUUCUUCUGAGUCGUUUAAAAGAGGGACGAAAGAUACCAGAGGACAGUCAACUCAUAAAUCGAAAAAACUGACACCAUGCAGUGGCGGAUCCGGGGGGGGGGGGGGGGGGGGGUGGGUUCCGGGGUGCGCACCCCCCUUUAUUUUUGCCGAUCAAUGCAUUUGUAUCGGGACAUAUGUUUUGCACCCCCCCCCUUUGCCCUGGGUGCCCUGGGUUAGCACCCCCCUUUCGAAAAUUCCUGCAUCCGCCCCUGCCAUGGCCCAGGGCUAAAAAUGAAAAAGACAAACAGACAAACAAUAGUACAAACAGAGACAUAUAUAUAUAUUGUAUUAUGUCUCUGGUACAAAUCAUGUCACAUGACACAACAUAGAACACUAAAGAAUAAGCAACACGAACCCCACAAAAACUAUGGGUGAUCUCAGGUGCUCCGGAAGGGUUAGCAGAUCCUGCUCCACAUGUGGUACCCGUUCGAAACUAGGUGAGACAUGCACAGAAUUGAUAGUGGGUAGUGGUUGGGGAUUGGGGGGGGGGGGUUGGAUAGGACCUUUAUCGGGAUUUCGGGAUCGGGUGUUUUUAAGAUUCUAAUCAACAACAAAAAAUAUAAAAAAGAAUAGGCUGUAUCUAUAAGAUCCUAUAUAUAAUAAUACAUAGAAGUCUCAGCUCAGAUAUUUCAGUCAGUCUUCAGUUUCACUUGAAUCAGAAUAUCAAUUUUAAAAUGAAAACGGGGAAUGUGAUAAAGAUCAAGACAACCACCCAACCUAAUAGCAGAAAACAGUCCAAGGCCACAAUGAUGGGUCUUCAACACAGCGAGAGAUAUCCCGCACCCGGAGGCAGCCUGGCAUCACACACUGAGAGCUUGCCCCUAAAGUCCCCUAAACAAUCAUGUAUUUUAGUUCAGUAUGCAUGCUUAAAGUCUUUGCUUAUGUGAUAUUUUAAUGAAAAAUUCAUUUUUAUCAGAGAUUUCUCAUUAAAGUGUAUGUAAAGUAACUUCUAAUUUCAAAACGUAUAGGAUAUUUUUUAUUAAAAUAUAUAUUGCCUGGCUUGUGUAAACAUUUUUAAUAAUAAAAUUGAGAAUGGAAAUGGGGAAAGGGUGAAAGUGACAACAACCCGACCAAAAGCAGAAUACAGCCGAAGGCCACCAAUCUGUCUUCAAUACAGUUAUGGCAUUCUCAAUUUUAGAGACUUUUUAUUAGUUCAUAUGUUUUAUAUUUCAUUCUAUUCAGAUUUUUAAUUAGAAUCUAAUAUACAGAAAAUCUUAAAUCAGUGAUCUUAAAUAAGACCGGCAAUGUAGCGAAAUUAUACCAUAAAUCGCUAUUUAGCCGGAGCCGGCGGCAAAGUAACGCACUAUAAGGAUGUUAUAAUGCAAGAUUCCGGUAAAUAGCACAUAAGAGGCUGCCCGAGCCGACAUGCGUGUACUGCUUAAUACCCUGAUUAAUUUUAUGAGUUGUAUACUUUAGCUCCUACAACUACAAAGUUUAAAAACAACAUUGCUGAAUAAUUAUGUUAUGGUAUUCUCCGGUUUUGUUGUAAAUUAAUUUAGUGGUAUAAGUAGUCGGUAUCUUCGAUCUAUAUAGCAAUGUAUGAUCGAAUAAAUAUGUGAUAAUGACUGUUUAUAACUUGGUUGUAUUUUAAAAUGUGAUUUUAUAAUUAUUCAGCUGAGUUGUCAAAACAUUUUUAAGUAACAGUUUGUCCAAAAGUAAAGAUCAGAGACGAAAACAUGAAUCAUCUCAGAUUGAAAGCAAACAUUAAUUGAGAUUAACAGAACCCCUACAGUUUUUCAUAAAAGCAACUGCAACCAAAAGGCUUAUUUAUUUACGAGAGAGGAUGCGAUAUAAUGGCAAACAAAUAAUGAAAAGAGAACAAAACAAAUUAAAAAGUGAGAAUGUUGGGGUUCAAAUUUUAAAGUAUAACUAAUAUUAAGAAUUAAGUAAUUCAAUGUUGAUUUCAGAAAUGAAUGAUGCACAAACUAAGGAAACAACAGAAAAGAAAUAGAAGUAAAAUCAUUGAUUCACGAGAAUUAUACACAGUAAUCAUUCGUUUUAAAGAUAAUGAAAUAUACACUUAAAAUCUAUAACUUCCAAAUAUAGAAAAAAGAAAAUGUUGUGUUAAUCAAAGCAUACUAUACGUACAGUGGAGAUCACUUCUAACCUCUCAACAAAUCUGUCAAGAGAAAUGUUCUAGGACAGUAUGUUGAACCGUCAUCCUGACAUCUUUUAGACAGUUCAAGCUAGAACAGUUCUAACCUAGAACUGAUCCUGAUAUUUCUACCUAGAACUGAUCCAGACAGUUCUACUCUAGAACAGUUUAAGACAGUUCUACCUAGAACUGACCAAAUCUACGACUAAAGCAGUUCUACGACUAAAAAAGUUCUACGAUUAGAACUUAUUUGGUCAGUUCUACGGCUAGAAUUGAUUUGGUCAGUUCUACCCAUAAAACAGUUUUAAGAACUCUUUUGUCUUAAACAUAAAUAAGUCAAAAGAAUAUGUAGGACUCUAAAGUGCGAUGGGGACGCUAAAGUACGAUGGUAACGCUAAAGUGCGAUGGUAUAGGCUAAAGUGCGAUGCCUCCAUACGCUAAAGUCCGAUGGUCCGCGAAAGUAUAGAUGUCAGAAACGUAGUUGGAUUACAGGGGCGGAUGCAAGAAUUUUCGAAAGGGGGGUGCUAACCCAGGGCACCCAGGGCAAAGGGGGGGUGCAAAACAUAUGUCCCGAUACAAAUGCAUUGAUCAAAAUAAAGGGUGCGCACCCCCGGACCCCCCCCCCCCCUGGAUCCGCCACUGGGAUUAUGACGUUAAUUGAUACAAACUAAAAAUUAACAUGCCGGAAGAUGAAUUACAAAUAUUGUUUAACAAUGUCAAUGACUAAUUUUAUUGUAACGCCGGUAAAAUAAAGGUACAUGCUUAAAAAGUGAAAUAUUAUAAAUUGUGGACCUUAAUAUCAGUUUGUGCAUUGAGAGAAAUUAUAACAUGAAUUUAUACUCGCUACGAAAAAGGAUAAAUCAAGGCGAACACCGCCGUAUUCUCUCACUGGCCGAAUUUUGUAUUUGCAAUGACGACUGUAUGGGGAAGUUUUCACAUUAUCAAUAGACUGUUUGAACGGCAAGCUACACCAAUUAUACAAUACGUCAUACUUGUUAAAACUCAUUUACAGGAAAUAUAGUAUUUUGUGACAACUUCAUUACCUUUAUAGCAAUUAUAACGUGGUCAAACCUUUAAAUUUAGAUACAAUUAAGCCGUAAGUCGUAUGUUAUACCUUAGCAUAGGCCUACUAGCUUUUGCAAAACGACUUGUGUUUUAACAUCCAUAUACUUUAAUGUUUUAGACUUUAAACAUUACCCUAGUGUUCCAUCGUACUUUAGCGUGUUUUACCAUCGUACUUUAGCAAACAAACAACCAUCGUACUUUAGCGUGACACACCAUCGUACUUUAGCGUAGACCAUCGCACUUUAGCGUGACCAUCGCACUUUAGAGUACAAUCGCACUUUAGAGUCCUACAAAUGUAGGUGGCUUUAUCAAUGAUAAUGAUAACACUGAAUGGUGACCAAUGAGAUGCCCUAACUCAAUGACGUCAUUUAGAACUGUUCUACAAUCCUGACUACCGUUUGCUCAUUUUCUACAGCUUGAAUAUUUUUAGACAGUUCUGCUGACAGUUCUACGGUUAGAACUGAUUUGGUCAGUUCUACCUAGAACAGUUUUAGACAUUUCUACCCUAAAACUGAUCCUGACAGUUCUAUGGUAGAACUGUUCUAGGACAGUUUAGAACAGUUCUAUGACAGAUUAUUCUGACAGUUCUAAUAAGAGGUUAGAAGUGAUCUUCACUGUAUAUUCCUGUACCAAGUCUGGGAUUUGACACUAGUUUUCAAUUCGAUUUGUUGGCUGAUUUUUAAUUUUAAUUUUUGUCGGUUUUAGUGGACUUUUCGGUACUCAAAUUUGUUCUUAAUGUCUUUUUGGGUUUUUUGGGGGUUUUUUUCAGCGAUCUGAUGAGUUAAGUCCCUUUCAAAUUAUUUCUUAUAGUUUGAGCUCAUUUUUACUGUUUUACCCAAUUGUCCUCGCGGGUUGAUUUGGCGCCAGCAAACAUGUAUAAAAAAAAACGCAUUUUUUAUGUGUCUGUCCCACAGCCUGUAAUUCAGUGUUUGUCGUUUGUUGUUGAAUAAUUCGCCCUUUAAUGCCGCGUUGUUAGCAGUGAGGCAAAAAAUUAUCAAUUCAAUACAAAAACAUUGAGUGAGUGUAACUUGUGUUGGUGCAUGGUUUUGGACUGAUAUAGAAACGGAUGCUGGUAAUGUAUUGCAGACCUGCUUUACUAUUGAUUGUGAUUUUUUGGGGGAAACUUCCAAUCUGGCACAAACCAGUGACGAGCAGGCGGGAUUACCAAUCGAAAAUUUUUGCCUUUUUAAAGUAUAAAUAAGAGGGGAAAAAUUGCAAAAAACUACAGGAUGGUCAAUGGGUUGUCGCCAGUCUGAAGUAUAUUACCAACAUCCGUUUCUGUAUCAGUUCAAAACCAUCAACACACGUUACCCUCACAGAUGGCCACUCGGGUGUCUUGUUGUCUUGAAUUGAUAUUGUUUGCCACUCUGCAAAAACGUGGCAUUAAAUAGUGAUAGAAAAGACUGACCGUCGUUCAUGCAUUGUGUGUCCGGGUACUAGGGUAACACCUCUUCAUGAAGACUGUAACCUUGAGAACAAGCAUGUUAUAAAUCUAGCUCAGCGUUUUUGCUUAGCAUUUUGGUCUAGUAUAAAAAAAGAAGGGUUUAUAUUCCAAUUCCGUUUACAUGAUUUCAUUGAGAUUUUCUUGUAUUAAUCCAAUGCUUCUUACUUCGUUCACGAAUAUCACCAACAUGACUUAGGUCAUACUAAACGCAACGUGCGACACUAAUGCAAGAACACAUCGUCCAUAUGUUUGGAUGUGUGGCCCUUCAUCGUGGUGGACUUUGCAGAAAUUACCUUUUAGAUUUAUUGUUAACUUGUUCUAUCUAUAAGUAUGUAAAAAAUCUUUGCACUAUUUUAUUAUUUGCGUUAAGCAAACAACAACGAAUCUAUCAAGCCGAAGAAACACUACGCCAAUAUUCUGUCUAUUAUGUCAAUAUUCUGUCUAUUAUGUUAAUAUUCUGUCUAUUAUGUCAAUAUUCUGUCUAGUAUGUCAAUAUUCUGUCUAUUAUGUUAAUAGUCUGUCUAUUAUGUCAAUAUUCUGUCUAUUAUGUUAAUAGUCUGUCUAUUAUGUUAAUAUUCUGUCUAUUAUGUCAAUAUUCUGUCUAUUAUGUCAAUAUUCUGUCUAUUAUGUCAAUAUUCUGUCUAUUAUGUCAAUAUUCUGUUUUUAUGUCACUAUUCUGUCUAUUAUGUCAAUAUUCUGUCUAUUAUGUCAAUAUUCUGUCUAUUAUGUCAAUAUUCUGUCUAUUAUGUCGAUAUUCUGUCUAUUAUGUUAAUAUUCUGUCUAUUAUGUCAAUAUUCUGUCUAUUAUGUUAAUAUUCUGUCUAUUAUGUCAAUAUUCUGUCUAUUAUGUAGAGUUAGGUUUUCCUGCUCUCUUAUUUUCAUUGUACGUUCUAUACAUGUGCUUUAUGUUUAUUCAAUUGUUCCAGAUUAAAAGGGAGCCGCUUGAGUGAAGAAUUUUUUUAGAAAAGCCCACCUAAUGUUUGUUUAUAUGUGUUCCUGCCCAUAACAUAACUGCAUUCAUUUAAAAAGUUUCCCGAAAGACUGCAGACUUCGUGUGAACAUACUUUACCAUGUAAUGUAGACUUCAUGUGAACAUACUUUACCAUGUAAUGCAGACUCCAUGUGAACAUACUUUACCAUGUAAUGCCGACUUCAUAUGAACAUACUUUACCAUGUAAUGCAGACUUCAUGACUUCAUGUGAACAUACUUUACCAUGUAAUGCAGACUUCGUGUGAACAUACUUUACUAUGUAAUGCAGACUUCAUGCCUUCAUGUGAACAUUCUUUACCAUGUAAUGCAGACUUCGUGUGAACAUACUUUAUCAUGUAAUGCAGACUUCAUGCCUUCAUGUGAACAUACUUUACCAUGUAAUGCUUUUUAUGAUGCAUUUCCCUCCAAACAUCUGAUUAACAAUAAUGAUUUGAAAUAUUUAACUACACACCUACAAAACUAAGAAUGACUUAUCGAGCACAUCAAUUUCAAACGAGAAAUGAGAUCUAUAUACUUAGUAUAAAAUUAACCUUAUUAGCAGUCACAUAUACUUCAAUUUUAAUUCAUAAC